AUACGUAGGUGGCAAGCGUUGUCCGGAUUUACUGGGUGUAAAGGGCGUGCAGCCGGGAAGGCAAGUCAGACGUGAAAUCCACGGGCUUAACCCGUGAACUGCAUUUGAAACUGUUUUUCUUGAGUGUCGGAGGGGCAAUCGGAAUUCCUAGUGUAGCGGUGAAAUGCGUAGAUAUUAGGGGGAACACCAGUGGCGAAGGCGGAUUGCUGGACGAUAACUGACGGUGAGGCGCGAAAGUGUGGGGAGCAAACAGGAUUAGAUACCCUGGUAGUCCACACUGUAAACGAUGAAUACUAGGUGUGCGGGGACUGACCCCCUGCGUGCCGCAGUAAACACAAUAAGUAUUCCACCUGGGGAGUACGAUCGCAAGGUUGAAACUCAAAUGAAUUGGCGGGG
rnacentral:rRNA from 1 species